UGUGUAUAUGCUGCCUUAUGUGAUAAAAGGUAACUGCACAUCAUCUUCAACUGCUUAUUUUUCCAUCUCACAAGAUGGGGCUGGGAGAGGAAGGAGGAAAAGUUUUCUAGGAAAGACAACAUUAUGAGUUUUAAGAAGAGGAGGAUUUAAAAUCUCAAUUUGCUCCACCUUGGUGGAUUACAGUGAGCACACACUCUCUUCUGCAUUUGGAGAACUGUCCCAUUUGGAAGGAAACAAUUGUGUCAGAGCUGUUGUUUAACCUUAGAGGCUAACUGGAAUUACUUCAGAAUCUUAAAAAAAAAUCUCAUUGCUCAGGCCAACCUCCUACUGGAAAUGGGACCUCAGGAGAAAGUUGUUGUUGUUGUUGUUUUUAAGGUUGCCUGGGUGAUUCAGAAGCACAGCCAAGGUUGAGAACCACCAAGUUUGAGCCUCUUCUCUCACUGCUGUCCUUGGCAGUGUUCAUAGACUACUUAAUUUACCAUGUUAGUCACACACUAGUUAGUUAAUCUCUCAAUUGACCAAAAGGAUGUGUUAUUUUGUGUCCUGAAGAUAUACUUUAAAGUUUUUAAAAAGAUUUUGUUAAGUGUUUGCUCAUUAAGCAUUUGCUCAAAUCUGCUCUAAGCAA